GUAUAAGUAGGACUCAAUGGACAGUGACUGGAGUGUUGCUAACCCAACUCUACUGAACUGGACUGCUGGUGCCAGUGUAUCCUUGAAAUGUCUUUGAAUGGAUCAAGCUGCCACUGCCUGCAAACCUGUGAACGGAACUGCCAAUUGCCAGACAACAGAUGGGAUUUGCUCCAAAGAACCUUUCUAAAGCGGUCCACUUCCUCCACCCUCCCCAGCCCCAGUAUCCUUUCUUUCCCACUACCUCUGAUAGGUGGUGGGCUACAAGGGAGGUUUAAGUGUUUAAGAACCAUUAUUGAAACCAGGAUUUAAAAAAAAAUUAAGUUACACCCUCAGUUUCUAGAACACAGGUACCUUAACCCCAAUGAGUAAAUUCAAUGUUAGCAACAA